rnacentral:rRNA from 1 species
GACGAACGCUGGCGGCGUGCUUAACACAUGCAAGUCGAACGGAAAGGCCCUGCCUUUGUGGGGUGCUCGAGUGGCGAACGGGUGAGUAACACGUGAGUAACCUGCCCUUGACUUUGGGAUAACUUCAGGAAACUGGGGCUAAUACCGGAUAGGAGCUCCUGCUGCAUGGUGGGGGUUGGAAAGUUUCGGCGGUUGGGGAUGGACUCGCGGCUUAUCAGCUUGUUGGUGGGGUAGUGGCUUACCAAGGCUUUGACGGGUAGCCGGCCUGAGAGGGUGACCGGCCACAUUGGGACUGAGAUACGGCCCAGACUCCUACGGGAGGCAGCAGUGGGGAAUAUUGCACAAUGGGCGGAAGCCUGGUGCAGCAACGCCGCGUGCGGGAUGACGGCCUUCGGGUUGUAAACCGCUUUCGCCUGUGACGAAGCGUGAGUGACGGUAAUGGGUAAAGAAGCACCGGCUAACUACGUG